CAGUCGCCACGGUAAUACGGAGGGUGCAAGCGUUAAUCGGAAUUACUGGGCGUAAAGCGCACGCAGGCGGUCUGACAAGUCAGAUGUGAAAUCCCCGGGCUUAACCUGGGAACUGCAUUUGAAACUGUCAGGCUGGAGUCUUGUAGAGGGGGGUGGAAUUCCAGGUGUAGCGGUGAAAUGCGUAGAGAUCUGGAGGAAUACCGGUGGCGAAGGCGGCCCCCUGGACAAAGACUGACGCUCAGGUGCGAAAGCGUGGGGAGCAAACAGGAUUAGAUACCCCAGUAGUCCCUGUCUAUUAUAA
rnacentral:rRNA from 1 species